rnacentral:rRNA from 1 species
UGGGGAAUAUUGCACAAUGGGCGAAAGCCUGAUGCAGCAACGCCGCGUGAGGGACGACGGCCUUCGGGUUGUAAACCUCUUUAGCAAGGAAGAAGCGAAAGUGACGGUACUUGCAGAAAAACGCGCCGGCUAACUACGUGCCAGCAGCCGCGGUAAUACGUAGGGCGCAAGCGUUAUCCGGAAUUAUUGGGCGUAAAGAGCUCGUAGGCGGUUUGUCGCGUCUGCUGUGAAAACCCGAGGCUCAACCUCGGGCCUGCAGUGGGUACGGGCAGACUAGAGUGCGGUAGGGAGAUUGGAACUCCUGGUGUAGCGGUGGAAUGCGCAGAUAUCAGGAAGAACACCGAUGGCGAAGGCAGAUCUCUGGGCCGUAACUGACGCUGAGGAGCGAAAGGGUGGGGAGCAAACAGGCUUAGAUACCCUGGUAGUCACCCCGUAAACGUUGGGACUAGUUGUGGGGUCCAUUCCACGGAUUCCGUGACGCAGCUAACGCAUUAAGUUCCCCGCCUGGGGAGUA